rnacentral:rRNA from 1 species
CUUUACUGCAACCUGGGAUUGAAUUUGGGUUUUUUUUGUGCAGUAUAGGUGGGAGAUGAUGAAUAUUUUCUUUUGAGGAAAUUUUUCAUUGUCAAUAGUGAGAUACCACCCUUAAAAAGCUAGAAUUCUUAGAGCGCUCCUUGAAACAGGGCGCUUAACAGUUCUUGGUGGGCAGUUUGACUGGGGCGGUCAUCUCUUAAAAAGUAACAGAGAUGUGCAAAGGUUUCUUCAGGCUGGACGGAAAUCAGUCGUAGAGUGUAAAGGUAUAAGGGAGCUUGACUGUAAGACCUACAAGUCAAACAGAGGCGAAAGCCGGCCUUAGUGAUCCGACGGUACCGCGUGGAAGGGCCGUCGCUAAACGGAUAAAAGUUA